rnacentral:rRNA from 1 species
CAACCCUUGACAUCCUAGGACAACUCCAGAGAUGGAGCCUUCCUUCGGGACCUAGUGACAGGUGCUGCAUGGCUGUCGUCAGCUCGUGUCGUGAGAUGUUCGGUUAAGUCCGGCAACGAGCGCAACCCACGUCUUUAGUUGCCAGCAGUUCGGCUGGGCACUCUAAAGAAACUGCCCGUGAUAAGCGGGAGGAAGGUGUGGAUGACGUCAAGUCCUCAUGGCCCUUACGGGUUGGGCUACACACGUGCUACAAUGGUGUCUACAGUGGGUUAAUCUCCAAAAGACAUCUCAGUUCGGAUUGUCGUCUGCAACUCGACGGCAUGAAGUCGGAAUCGCUAGUAAUCGCGUAACAGCAUGACGCGGUGAAUACGUUCCC